GGGUGGGGUCUUGCUUCUUCC
rnacentral:miRNA from 1 species